rnacentral:rRNA from 1 species
CACGUAGGGUGCGAGCGUUGUCCGGAAUUAUUGGGCGUAAAGAGCUCGUAGGCGGUCUGUCGCGUCGGCUGUGAAAACCCGAGGCUCAACCUCGGGCCUGCAGUCGAUACGGGCAGACUAGAGUGCUGUAGGGGAGACUGGAAUUCCUGGUGUAGCGGUGAAAUGCGCAGAUAUCAGGAGGAACACCGAUGGCGAAGGCAGGUCUCUGGGCAUUAACUGACGCUGAGGAGCGAAAGCAUGGGGAGCGAACAGG